AGCCCGGGAUACACUGCACGAUUAUUCGCUGUCCCAGACGAAAGAUUGCCAUCGUGAAACAAUUGUCGCUAUUUCAGUGAUUGUGGCUCUUCAUCGGUGGUCCUAUGUCGUACAAUGAGAGAGGUUCAAAGACGGCUGUUUUCCUGGUCUUGCGUCCAAGGAUAGCCUACAAUAGUUUUCUGACAGUGUCAGAAAUUCGGCGUGAUCACCGUACAGUGUGUUUGCUGCUAUGACCUGCACGCUGGUAUUUGUUUACCACGAGCGCAUGCUGGUGAAGUUGUGCUAACGUUUGACGCAGCCGCCGAAGCUUCCGUGUAAUCAUCGUACAGUCUACAUGCUUGUCGUACCCGAGUUUAAACGAUCCAUGUCGCACAGUGUUUUAAGGUAAUGAUCUUAUAGGAGGGCAAAAAUCCUGCAGUGUAUUCCGGGCUUUACAUUGUUUGUUGGUUCUUGUGUGUUAUGUAUUCCCUUCUUGUCGUCCAUUAAAGUAUUCAGUAUUGUUAAAUUCAUGUUUUUCAUCUGUGUAGGGUUAAUUAGGUUUCUUUGUUUUGUCUGUAAUGUGCAGAGCCUUUAGUUUUCAGAGGAGGAGUUUAACACAGGCACAGUUAAACAGCAUUGACUGCAUAUUACACAAACAUCUGCACAGCAGACACCCAUCAUUUCAUGUCUUUAAGCCUACAUCAUGUUGAUCUGGAUAAUAAUAUUGACCUCAUCUGCUGGUGGUAGCAAGGCCAUAGAUAACAUCACUCCAUACAGUGAAACUGCAUUUGCUAUUGAGGGCGACACUGUUACACUGUCUUGUAACUAUAGUGCUUCUGUAGUCAAUAGUCUUCAGUGGUAUCGGAUGUACACAGAUUCGCCACCACAGUUCCUUAUACUGGAUACAUAUGGAACAGUUAUUGAUGCUAAACCUCCAGUUUCAGGAUUCUCCAUCAAACACAGAAAAGCUGACAGCAGUGUGGAUCUGAAGAUCUCAUCUGUUAAAGUCACAGACUCUGCUCUGUAUUAUUGUGCCCUGCAGCCCACAGUGACAGGAAACACAACAACACUGUACAAAAACCUGACAGCAGAAAAAUAAUAAACCAGUAUUAGUUUAAUAAAUUAUAAAUAUGUAUUUUAUUAAUAUUAUAGGAUGUGUUAUAUUCUGGGGCUAAUGUUAAUGCAAAUAUAAGAAUGUCAACUAUUUUUAUGUGCAGU